AGCCUUCCAGGAGAAAUGGAGA
rnacentral:miRNA from 1 species